ensembl:lncRNA
AAAAACGUUAAAAAUAGAAAAUGCUACUCCAGAAGGCAGUCUUUAAAAUAAGGGAAUUUCUUUCUUAGGGGCACUUCCUCUGAGGUUUCAGGAGGGCCUUCUCAGCUGGAGAAGCAGUAAAUUUUAAUACAGUGUGGGGGACUAGAAUUGGCCACCCCAAGAUAUGUCUCUUUGGCAUGAGGAUUAUUUUGGCUGGAGACUUUUAAAAACUGCAGACAUGAGAGAAACUCUGAAAAGUAGAAUUUACUUACCCUUUGUUAAGAGAUAGUUACAUUUGUAAAGGAAAUCUCCAUCUGUAAAGGUGUCUCCCUCUCUGUACCAGGAAGAAGGGGGAUGACCUUAUCUCUAGAAACUCUUAUCAAUACAGAAGGCAAGGACUUAAAUCUGCAUAAUAACCUUACUCUUGUUUACUGUAUUUUUAUGGUAAUCUCCCAUAACUGACUCUCCCUACCCCCAACAUCCUCCUUUGUCUUUAGCUGAGGGUGGUAUUUAAGGAGAGAGCUUCUGAAAUUUUGGCGAGUUUCUCAGUUUGCCUGAGCCUCUCCCUUGUAUACAUGUUAUAAAGCUUUGUUUAAUUUUCUCCUGUUAUUCUGUCUCAUGUCAAUUUAAUUUGUUGUUCUGCCAGAAGGACCCAGAGUGGGUAGAGGAAAUGUCCUCCUCCCCUACAACAGUAAGUCUUGUAAUUUUCACAGCCCAAUAAAGUAAACAAAAAAAACAAGGAGAAGCAAUUUAGGAUUGCCAGCUUUUUAAUUUUACCAAGUAAGUUCUUUAAAAACUAUUGCACACAACGUUUGCUAUCUAUUAUCACUAUCAUUCUUUAAAAAAAAUAAUAAAGUCAUAGAGGAUAUAUUUUUAUAUUGAAAUCAUGUGCUUGACGGAAAACCUUACUACUGUCCUUUUGCUCUUAUUUAGUGUAAAAAAACUUUCGUCAUGGCCCCUGGACUGAUUACUAGAGCUCCUGGCCCCUGGGCUUCUUAGAAAAGAGAGCCUGAGACUAGAAAUGCCUUCUCUUCCCGUGGGGACCCUUCCUGAGAGGAGAGAGAGACAGCUGAGAUGGAGUUACCACCUGCAGCCCAGGAGCCUGGGGGCUUUCACACCAGCUGUACUGUGACCGCAAGGAGAGAGUCUUUUUCAAAUCUCUUUAUCUCUAACACCUAGGACAAUGCCUGGUACUUAGCAGACGCUGGGCGUGAAGUAGUUAAAGAGAAACCCAAGACAGCUGCAGCCCGGGGGCUCUGUAAUGGGAAGUCUCCUAGAGUUCAUUUUUCUGUGCCACCAAGGGAGACUUUUUCAGCUGGGACCCAAUCUGGAAGCUAUUCUACCCACUGGAAAGCCAGGAGCUAUAAAACCCUCCUGAUGCCUCAGCAUGACUCAGAGGCAGCUGAACAAGACCCUGAAGAGAGUGGGGACAGCUGUGGAGCCUCACACUUUGGCAUAUCUCGGGGUGGAAAGCAAAACCUCCUUAGAAAUAUAAAAUGAUGUUGCUGUCAUUCACCAAUACAAAUUCCAGGCAAGUGAAAGACUUGUGUGUAAGAACGUGGAAACCUAGAGUAAAGUAAAAGUGAAUAUAAAAUACUUUACUAGAGUAAAGUAAAAGUGAAUAGCUGAUCUCAAGCAAAGAAAGAAGUCAUUAGUAAUAGAGAAAGUGCUGAGAAACUUCAAGGUCUACACAGGUGGACGGAGCUAGGACUCAAACCCAGGGCUGUGCAACACCAGAGCCUUCCUCUUAACCCUGCCCCAAACUGCUUCCUUAGAGAAAAAGUAAAAAUAGGCAGUUCAGAAAACAAAGAUUUCUGGGGCCAGCCCCGUGGCUGAGUGGUUAAGUUCACACGCUCCACUUCAGCAGCCCAGGGUUUCACUGGUUUGGAUCCUGGGCGUGGACAUGGCACCUCUCGUCAAGCCGUGCUGAGGUGGUGUCCCACAUAGCAUGACCAGAGGCACUCACAACUAGAAUAUACAACUAUGUACUGCGGGGCUUUGGGGAGAAGAAGAGGAAGAAAAAAAAGAAGAUUAGCAACAGACGUUAGCUCAGGUGCCAAUCUUUAAAAACAAAAAGCAAAGAUUUCUAAAGUAUGCCCUCCAAACUCACCAGAAAUGGAAAGAGCAGGCAACAAAUUGGGAAGUUUGGGUAAUAAAUGAUAGACAUAGAGUGAUAGACCUAAAACAGAUGUAAAUCCAAAAGAAAAAGACAGAAAGAAGCUAAUGGAAAUUUUGACAGAGGUGACAAACAGGCUGUUUCCAAAGGAAGAAAUGUUGACAAUGAACGUGUGAAAAAUGCUGAGUCUCCUUAGUAUCAAAGAAAUGCAUAUUAACUAAGACACAGCAUUUUUUCAUCUAACAAAUUGGCCAACUUUUAACAAAAAGUUAAUGCCUAGUUUUUGGUGAGGUAAGAUUGGUAGGGAGACCAACUUUUUAGAGAGCCAACCCAGGACACAAUUAUACCAGACAAAAAAUUAAUGGUAAUAUAAUGUAUAAUAAAUAAUUACACAUGUAUAUAUCAGUUUAAUAUGAAAAUAGAUGUUAAUUUUAAAUUAUAUAUCAUUCUGUAUUGUUUAGUUUUCUGUUGCAUAAGUGCUAUUUAAACUAAACCACAAUGAAACUAGUUAAGAACAACUCAUCAUAAUUAAUAAUAGGACAAAUUACAAAAUAAUGAGCAAGAAAAAUAUAACAAUAUUUUUAUAGUGUUUCUUUUGAUUUUCUGAUACAGUAAUUUACUUUAACUCUUUUUAACUCUAUUGGAUAUUUACAUUUUGUAGGCUUUAUUGUACAUGCUGAAGAUGCACAAAUGUAAUACCUUUUUAAAGGACUGUAUAAAUGCAUUGGACUAAUAAAUGAAUAUUAACCUAUGUUUAAUAAAAAAAGAACAAUGAUGUGUUUCUUUCUCUCCCACAGUACCAUAUGAUAUUUUUACUCUUCCUGUUUCUUUUUGCAACAACUUAGAGAAGGCUCCUUUUCUUUUCUGUAGUGAUAGACUGAACAUAACGCAAAUGUAAAAUCCAGUUUGACUUUCAGAUCUUCUUUUAUCAACCCCACAUCAUGCUAAUUCCUGGUGUCAGUCCAAUGUGAUGACAUCCAGCUAAAUAUCCUCCCAAUAAAAGCAUUUUAGCAUAAAAUACUUAGAAUUUUACUUACUAGUAACAGCAGGUUUUUAGACUGGUGCGCCUUUGUUUCCAGCUCUCCAAAAAUGUCCAUCCACUUUAUAUUGACAGGCUUGUAAUUGUAGAUCAGCUGUUCGUCAAUAAUGUCCUUUGCAUCUAUAAAUUCAUCUUCUAGACGCUCCAUGUCUAAAAUGUCCAUCAUUUGUCCAAAGCACAUUGGAUAUCAUCACAAGUUAAGCCUCUCUCAGGGAAGCAGUUUUAAAGUGUAGAUGUAAUCUGAACUUGUGAAAUUGCAGUUGGAUUCCAAAUAAGUUACAGUUUUAGUAAAGAGAUGAGAAAGUCCUGUUUAACUUGGUUGACCUUUUUUAGUUCUAGUAACUUUUUUUUUUUGAGUUCAGAAACAGUCUUAUUUCAAAAAAAGGCUAUAUGAGUUUCUGUCACAACUACACAUAACAUGAAACAAUUCAAGUGGAUUCAGUUCAUCCUUUCCUGGGCUCCUUAUGGCCUCUUCAAAGAUCAUCAAACAAUUUUGGAGAAACAGCAUAUAAACUUCCGUUUUACUGUAAUGCUUUUUUCCAUUUCCAUCCUCAAUGUAUUUUCAAAUUAGAGAAGGACAUUCUUCUUGUCCUACAUUUUAAAAAUAUGAUUUUACAGACAAUAUCUAACAUCUUUCUAUGGCCAGCAGCAGUGAUAGCCAUCCUAUAGGCACAUGUCUAAGAAAGCUCUUCUCGUUUUUAUAAAGUCAAAUAUCUCAUUAAGUAACUGUAGUUUUCAGGAAACUGAAAAGUGACAAAGACUUUCAUAAUGAAAACCUCGAGUUCAUAAGUGAGCAAAUCACAUUCCCUUUUAGCAAUAUCAUGUACUAGGUAUGCAAAACAUUUAGCAGG